rnacentral:rRNA from 1 species
AGUGAACGCUGGCGGUAGGCCUAACACAUGCAAGUCGAACGGCAGCACAGUAAGAGCUUGCUCUUACGGGUGGCGAGUGGCGGACGGGUGAGGAAUACAUCGGAAUCUACUUUUUCGUGGGGGAUAACGUAGGGAAACUUACGCUAAUACCGCAUACGACCUACGGGUGAAAGCAGGGGAUCUUCGGACCUUGCGCGAUUGAAUGAGCCGAUGUCGGAUUAGCUAGUUGGCGGGGUAAAGGCCCACCAAGGCGACGAUCCGUAGCUGGUCUGAGAGGAUGAUCAGCCACAUUGGAACUGAGACACGGUCCAGACUCCGACGGGAGGCAGCAGUGGGGAAUAUUGGACAAUGGGCGCAAGCUUGAUCCAGCCAUACCGCGUGAGUGAAGAAGGACUUCGGGUUGUAAAGCCCUUUUGUUGGGAAAGAAAAGCAGCAGGUUAAUACCCCGCUGUUCUGACGGUACCCAAAGAAUAAGCACCGGCUAACUUCGUG